rfam:Gorilla gorilla gorilla genomic chromosome, chr15, whole genome shotgun sequence
GCCAGGCGUGGUGGCUCACGCCUGUAAUCCCAGCACUUUGGGAGGCUGAGGUGGGUGGAUCACCUGAGGUCAGGAGUUCGAGACCAGCCUGACCAACAUGGAGAAACCCCAUCUCUA